CAUGGAGGGUGAGAAUCCCGUCCGGCUGACCUUCAGGACGUUUUACGAUACGCUUUCAAAGAGUCGAGUUGUUUGGGAUUGCAGCUCAAAAUGGGAGGUAAAUUUCUCCUAAGGCUAAAUACCGGCGAGAGACCGAUAGCGAACAAGUACCGUGAGGGAAAGAUGAAAAGAAUUUUGAAAAGAAAGUCAAACAGUACGUGAAAUUGUUGAAAGGGAAACGAUUGAAGCCAGUCGUACCGACGGGAAUUCAACUUCUCGAGUGCUAAUCGUGGGUGACGUUGAGCCUCACGGCCUUCGUUGCUUGUGUUGUUGGUGCUUUUGGGUGUACUUUUCCGUAUUGGUAGGUCAGCAUCGAUUUCGAUCGUCAUAAAAUGAUCGGGGGAAUGUAGCUUCGGUCUCGUAUCGGAGUGUUAUAGACCUUGGUAGAUGUGACGAUUGGGAUCGAGGAUUGCAACGAAUACCCUCUGGGCUAUCCGUCUGACCUCUGAAAGUCGCUCGGGUGUCGAAAGCGUGCUUAUGGCUAUUCGAGUUGGCGGUCAAUAGGUUAGAACGUGAUUAUAUUCGUUAAGGAUGUUGACGUAAUGG
rnacentral:rRNA from 1 species